GAAUAUUGGACAAUGGGGGGAACCCUGAUCCAGCCAUGCCGCGUGUGUGAAGAAGGCCUUUUGGUUGUAAAGCACUUUAAGCGAGGAGGAGGAGCUCUUGGUUACUACCCAACAUCCCUGGACGUUCCUCGCCGAAUAGGCACCGGCCAACUCGGUGCCAGCAGCCGCGGUAAUAAAGAGGGUGCAAGCGUUAAUCGGAUUUACUGGGCGUAAAGCGCGCGUAGGUGGCCAAUUAAGUCAAAUGUGAAAUCCCCGAGCUUAACGUGGGAAUUGCAUUCGAUACUGGUUGGCUAGAGUAUGGGAGAGGAUGGUAGAAAUCCAGGUGUAGCGGCGAAAUGCGUAGAGAUCUGGAGGAAUACCGAUGGCGAAGGCAGCCAUCUGGCCUAAUACUGACACUGAGGUGCGAAAGCAUGGGGAGCAAACA
rnacentral:rRNA from 1 species